rnacentral:lncRNA from 1 species
CCCCAAAUUUUCAUUUUCAUGUAGAAAAAAAUAAACCAAAAAUAACUAUUCACCUACAAUUCAAAUGAUUUCUACGGCAAAACUGAAAAUAGAAAAUCUACACUUACAGCAGAUUUAAAAUAAAACCUUAGUGCAAGAAACAUAACCAAGUUAAUCACAGAAUCAGUACUAAUGAAAGAGGAUGGAAAAUUCUCCUAUACAGAGGUAGAGUCCAGUGCACAAGGCUAAAACAAUAUUCAAUAGUCUAAACAAGACCGAGCCAAAUUUUAUGGAAUCCACUUUAAAUUUUAAGUAUCAGACUGUAUGUACAUACAUACAAUAAAUAGACUAUACAAUCUUUAAAGUAGUUUUAAUAAACUCCACAAAAUUAUAGCAGAUGCAUCGAGAUAUUUACAUAAUUCAAAGUUUAUAUGUCUCUCAUUCAAAUAAAAGGGAUAAAACUACAAUUUCUGUUAGAAAGGUAACAGAACUUUUUUGAAAUGGUUUGGUAAAAGACGACAACCAUUGACAUUAUGGUAGGAACUCAUUUUUCUUGAGAGGUAUUAAAAUUUCAGAAGUUAAGAAAAUAUGUCCCUUUUUUUUUUUUCAGCUAGAUAGAUUUUUGGAAUACUUUUUUUUUUUUAAACUUUCUAUUACAUUUUUCUGUUCCAAAUUGAACCCGCAUGUGAACAGAGAGGCUAGUUGGGGAACCCAAAUGAAUGGAUACAAUCAAGGGAAGAAGAAAUUUCAUUUUAAGGUUUGGGUUUUUCAAAGGGUUUUUUUGGCUUUUUUUUUUAAGAUGAUCUAUCACAAAGAAUUAAGAUGUAUUGUUUUAAGCCAACAAUCAGGUAACAAAGGUGAUAAAUCACAUGAGCCUGCAAAUAGAGAAUAUUCAGUCUGGAAUUGGUACCUUGGCCCUUAGAAGGCCAUUUGUUUAAAAGACAUGUUUCACUGAGAGGUGUGAAUAAAUAUAUUCAUGGAUAGGUCUAUGACCUUUGGGCACUAAGGUGGGAAAGAAAACUAAUGGAAAAUUUUUCCAUUUUCAAUUAGUCCAAAAAAAAAUAUAAAAAAAAAAACAAAAAACCCUGAAGAAAAUCUGCCAUCCACAUCACUGAAUUUAAAAAGAAGGCAGGGGAAGGGAAGGGACCCCUCUCCUCUGUCAUCAGAUCCAGAGGAAAAGUAUAAAAAGAAAAAACCUUUCACAGAAUCAUAUUCAUGGACUUGAGUUCAAAAUUAUCACUCCCCCAUCCCCAACCUUGAUAAGUUUUUGUGUAUAUAGGUUCAGACUUGUGAUUUCAUUGGCAUAGGGAACUCCAGAGUGUGAAAAUUCCCUCCAUGAAUGCAGAUCAGUAAUUCAUCUAUAACUUUUAAUAUUAAAGGGUUGCCUGAGGCACAGAAGGAUUGAGAAACUUGCUCAUGAUUUUAUAGUUAUUAGGUGUCAAGAGUCAGCAUUUGAAUCCAGGUCUUCCUGAUUCAGCUGGCUAUCUAAUGUACCAUGCUUUCUCUCAAUCUUCACAUUACAAUAAAAUAUUC